UACGGAGGGUGCAAGCGUUAUCCGGAUUUACUGGGUUUAAAGGGUGCGUAGGUGGAUAAGAAAGUCAGUGGUGAAAUCUUCGGGCUUAACCCGGAAACUGCCAUUGAUACUAUUUGUCUUGAAUACUUUGGAGGUAAGCGGAAUAUGUCAUGUAGCGGUGAAAUGCUUAGAUAUGACAUAGAACACCGAUAGCGAAGGCAGCUUGCUACACAAUAAUUGACGCUGAGGCAC
rnacentral:rRNA from 1 species